GAACGAACGCUGGCGGCGUGCCUAACACAUGCAAGUCGUGCGAGAAAGCGGGGGCAACUCUGCAAGUACAGCGGCGCACGGGUGAGUAACACGUAGGUAACCUACCUUUGAGACUGGGAUAACCUGUCGAAAGACGGGCUAAUACCAGAUAAGACCACCGAAGUUGCGGCUUCGGCGGUAAAGAUGGCCUCUGCUUGCAUGCUAUCACUUAAGGAUGGGCCUGCGCGCCAUUAGCUAGUUGGCGGGUAAAGCCCACCAAGGCAAAGAUGGCUAGCUGGUCUGAGAGGAUGGCCAGCCACACUGGGACUGAGACACGGCCCAGACUCCUACGGGAGGCAGCAGU
rnacentral:rRNA from 1 species